AGUUUUUUAAAUCGUUUUUGGUUUGGUCUCUGUUUGUGAGCUAUUUUACGAUUUAGUAUCAAUUUGGAGCAACUUUUAGUUUGUGAGAAUAUUAGACGAUUAGGCAUUAAGAAACUGUUUGGAAUUCUCUUUAGACAUAACUUGGCUCCAAUACUUUUUCUUCGAUAAAGUUUCGUAUGCCUGUGUAUAUUGUUUUCAUUACUUACAGAAAGUUUAUUAUUAAUAGUCAGCAUGCCUCGAAGAUCAAGAAUGAAAUUUUAUUUCGGAUGCCUUGGUAACGACCAAAAUUAUGCAGCUCACAUCGAAAUUGAUCAGCCACAGUUGUUGAGUGGAAUUGUGCUGACUUCAAGUAUGAAUAAUAUGACAAAAAUUGAAAGUGUAUCAUACAGAAACAAAUGUUCGAUAAUGACAAAAUUUUAUGGAAAAAUUAUAAGGAGCACAUAAAAUGUCUGAAACAUGAAAAUUAAGAUUGAUGCACUAUAUUUGAAGCAGAAGGUUAUAAGAAGAACUGAUUCAGCAAGGAAUGUGAACUCACAAGGGAUCUUAAUUUUUUUUUAAAUAUGUUUAUAAUUUAUAAAUUAAUAAUUG